rnacentral:rRNA from 1 species
GACGAACGUUGGCGGCGUGCUUAAUACAUGCAAGUCAACUGAAGCAGUGCUACCUAUAUCGCUGUGUCGGUGGCCCACGGGUUAGUAACCCGUUGGUUAUCUUCCUUCAGGUCUUGCAUUACUCCGGGAAACCUGGGCUAAUUGCCGAUGAUGCAGCGCCUCUGCAUCGAGACGGUUGUUAAAGCUCUGGCGCCUGGAGAGGAGGCUGCGGAUGAUUAGCUAGUUGUCGGGGUAACGGCUCACCAAGCCAACGAUCAGUAGCUGGUCUGAGAGGAUGAUCAGGAACGAGGGAAGCGAGACAGGGUCUAGAAUCCUACGGGAGGCAGCAGGAAGGAAAAUUGCUGAAUGGGAGAAAUACUGAAGCAGAAACGGAGCGUGAGGGACGAAGGGCGGGAGCUUGGAAACCGCGGUAGUAAGAGAAAAAAACUCCAACGAUGGGGAAAUGACGGUAUCGGAAAAGGAAGCCCCGGCUAACUACGUG